CUGGCUUGGGCAGUGCUUUGCAAGCAGUGUGAAUGACACUCCAGUGGCUUGCUAAUGGGUGGCAGAUGUGUCCAGAGCAUCUCAAGAUUCACAGAGCUUUCGAGCUGCAGGAACUUGCAGAGUACCAACCCAGUCACGUGACCAUUUUGGAGAUGAAGAAACGGGCAUGGAAAAGUGAUGCAAUUUGCUGAAGUCCACAAGGUGUGGACUACAAUGCUACUCUUCUGGAUCAUGGUAGAAAUUUUAAAAUCUUAGCAUUUAGGAAUCAUCUAUGUACAGUCUUUAGUCUCAUACAUAAGGAAACUGAAGCCCAAGAGGCAACAAUGUGAUUGAUCCAAGGUCUGGAGGGUAUACGGUAGAGCUGAGAUGUUAAUGGUGAUAACAUCAUCAAUACCAGCUGAACCAUUUGUGCCUUCUAGAUGUCUUUAUUCGAUGCAUAUCUUCACUAGCACUGUUUCUUUUCCUUUUUUUUUUUUUUUUGAGACGGAGUCUCACUCCGUCACCCAGGUUGGAGUGCAGUGGUGCGAUCUGGGCUCACUGCAAGCUCCGCCUCCUGGGUUCACGCCAUUCUCCUGCUUCAGCCUCCCAAGUAGCUGGGGCUACAGGCACCUGCCACCACUCCUGGCUAAUUUUUUGUAUUUUUAGUAGAGACAGGGUUUCAUCAUGUUAGCCAGGAUGGUCUCGAUCUCCUGACCUCACGAUCUGCCCACCUCGGCCUCCCAAAGUGCUGGGAUUACAGGCGUGAGCCACCAUGGCCGGCCCACAUUAUUGAUUUUCUUUAUUAAGUUCAAUACGUAUUUUCUGGCCGCUUAUUGUGCGACCCACUGCACUGGGUAUAUUCCAUGUUUGUGGUCAAUCUCUUCCAACUAGGUCAAAAGGAGGUUUGUCUUUUACCACAUUCUGUGCCUUAAGCCACUUCACAGCAGCGCCUCCCGUAGAACUGGUUUGGUAAAGAUUCGCUGGUCAGCAGCUCUAGGGGAUCUGGCUGCCUGGCACAUGGUCAUUUUAUUAUGGUUCCUGUUGCUUUUGGUGUUUUAAUAUCAUAACUUUACUUCUGGGACAUAAACAAAAUGCAACAUAAGCCAGGCUACAGAGUCCAGAGUCCUACUUGACGCCAAGAGAGAGACAGGUAAGAGAGAAGACCUCUUCGCCACCCUCCGGAACUUGCAUUCUGAAGCAAAGUUGAGAAAAUCAUUGCACACAUACAACAAAGAUGAUCCUAGUAGCAGCUGGAUGGAGUCACAGGCCUCCGUUCACGAGCUUCUGGUAUGCUCUUAGCAGAGAGCAGGGGGAUUAGUCAGAGAAAACUCCACAGAAAAAAGUUUUGGGACAGUUUCCUAUGGGAAAGACUUAGAGGAAAGAAUAAGAAGGAAGAACUUUCCAGAAAAGGGAAGAGGGGCAAGUAGCAAUGCACAAGGCACAAGUAACCUCUGCUGAUCCCCAGCAUGGCACACGAUAGUAGCUCAAGUAUAAAAAUACAGGCACGCGCACACACUAGCAACUUCAUCAUCGACAUAGUACGCUGCCUAUGACCUCCACCUAGUUUAUUUACCCAUUCAGUCAUUCAUAAAAUGUGUCUUAAGCUCCUCCUUGUGCCAGUCUCAGUUCUAGGUUCCAGUGGAAAAAGGAAACAGAAAGCACUACCCUCACAGAGUGGAUCUUCUAGUGGGAAAACAUAGACAAUAAACUAAUAAAUAGGUAAAAUAAGUAGUACCUUCAGCACGAGAAAUACCGUGGAGACAAAGAAGGCAAACAGGGUAUAGGGAUCGGUUGCAAUUUAAAAUAGGGUGGUUGGGAAAGAGACAGCUGAGAAAGUGACCUUUUACCAAAUACCUAAAGGAAGGAUUUAAGGGAAGGGUGUUUCAGGCAGGCAGUGGCUGACACUGAGUGAGCAAGGGGACAGGUGGAGUGGGAGAUGGGCAGGCAGCCAGGAGGGGGCCCUGUAGUGUGAGGAUGUGGGCUUCCACACCUCAGGAGAUGGGAAGCCAUCAGAGAGUUCUGAGCAGAGGAGUGAUGUGAGUUGGUUUAGGUUUUAAAAGUUAGCAUGCUGAUGAUCUGUCAGGGGCAGUGUGCAAAUAGGGAGAUCAGUGAAGGGGCUAUGAUGAGAGUCCAGGCUGUGGAGGAGGAUUUCUGAUGGUGGACUCCCAAUAUCCAAGUGUAAGAAAAUGAGUAUCUGGGGCACAGGAGGAAAGCUCAGGCACCUAGCUCUAGAGGAGGGACAUCGCCUCCGACAAUUCCCCCCUUACAAGAAGAAAACAGGAGGGACCAUUCAAAAAGGAAACUUUAGCUGAACACACAGGAUUGGCGGAGAGGAAAUUCGUCUUUGUCCAUGCUGGUUUCUAACACAAGGAGGCAGAUGAAAUAGCACUGGGGCAUUUCUUUGCUCUCAUCACCCCAUGAAAAGCAUUCCCAACUGACUCGGUAGAUUGGCAUGCCUGAAACCUUCCUAAUGCCCAUGGUCCUGGCAUCUUCUGCCUAGGUUCAAGCACAGGGGUGAAGAAAGGAAUGAGAUGAGAGAUACGAAAACAUCAGAGUGAACAGGCAACCUACAGAAUGGGAGGAAAUUUUUGCAAUCUGCCCAUCUGACAAAGGGCUAAUAUCCUGAAUCUACAAAGAACUUAAACAAAUUUACAAGAAAAAAACAACCCCAUCAAAAAGGGUGCAAAGGAUAUGAACAGACACUUCUCAAAAGAAGACAUUUAUGCAGCCAACAGACACAUGAAAAAAUGCUCAUCAUCACUGGUCAUCAGAGAAAUGCAAAUCAAAACCACAAUGAGAUACCAUCCCACACCAGUUAGAAUGGCAAUCAUUAAAAGUCAGGAAACAACAGAUGCUGGAGAGGAUGCGGAGAAAUAGGAACACUUUUACACUGUUGGUGGGAGCGUGAACUAGUUCAACGAUUGUGGAAGACAGUGUGGCGAUUCCUCAAGGAUCUAGAACUAGAAAUACCAUUUGACCUAGUGAUCCCACUACUGGGUACAUACCCAAAGGAUUAUAAAUCAAUCUACUAUAAAGACACAUGCACACAUAUGUUUAUUGCAGCACUAUUCACAACAGCAAAGACUUGGAACCAACCCAAAUGUCCAUCAGUGAUAGACUGGAUUAAGAAAAUGUGGCACAUAUACACCAUGGAAUACUAUGCAGCCAUAAAAAUGGAUGAGUUCAUGUUCUUUGCAGGGACACGGAUGCAGCUGGAAACCAUCAUUCUGAGCAAACUAUCACAAGGGCAGAAAACCAAACACCACAUGUUCUCACUCAUAGGUUGGAACUGAACAAUGAGAACACUUGGACACAGGGCGAGGAACAUCACACAUUGGGGCCUGUCAGGGGGUGGGGGGCAGGGGGAGGGAUAGCAUUAGGAGAAAUACCUAAUGUAAAUGACAAGUUAAUGGGUGCAGCAAAGCAACAUGGCACAUGUAUACCUAGGUAGCAAACCUGCACAUUGUGCACAUGUACCCUAGAACUUAAUGCAUAACAAAAAAUUAAAAAUUAAAAAAUAAAGAAAACUGGGCUUUUUUUUAAGUGGGAAAAAGAAACGGGGACAAGUUAGUGCCAAAUAAGGAUUUUAAAAAAUCAAAUAGGCAGGAAACAAUAUAAUGUAUUGUCCAAUCUGGAAUACUUUUGAGAGUAAAGAAGAAGUGCUAUUAAUAAUUCUCCCUGGUCUGGAAGCUUAAGCCUGGACGAGCUUGAGCACCUGACUGUGAAGGGUGAUGUGUAAAGGGGGCUCUCCCCAUUCCCACCACUCUGCUCCCAGCUCCUGCCCACAUGGUUCAGUUCCCGGAACUUGCUGGUGGCAGUUGUGGGACCCCAGGCAUAGUGAGAUUCUCAAUUAGUUAUUGGUUCUGAUACAGAAUCUUGCAUUUAUAUCAAGAUUUGGAGUUGGGUGGGGCUGGGAAAG
rnacentral:lncRNA from 10 species